CGAGAGAGCCUAAUCCAGCCGCCCAGGCGCCUGCGGUUGCCCCGCGAGACACGUAUGAAGCCCUACUGGGUCCCAGGGACUGCUCUAGGUACCGAUGAAACAACAGUGAACAAAACAGACAAAAAUCCCGUCCUUCUUACAUUCUGUGGUGGGGAGACAGAGGAUCGACCAAAAAAGGCCCCAACCCUUCGCGGGGAACACGUGUUGUUAUGGUAACGGCAGAAGAGGUCCCUGAGAAACUGCUCUGUUGUUCGACUUGAAGAGUUGCCGAAGCUUCUUUCAUGGUCCCCACAUCAGGAGCGAGCGUCUUACCCUGGGGACAGUUUCUUGCUUGGUAGCACUAGCUGCUCUGUCUAGUUGUUACCUGAUAACGACCAGGUGUCAUACAUGUACAGUCACUUUGCAAGCAUGUGACAUCGCCCAGUCAGGAGGUGCGUGAGGAAUCACCUCAAGGUCUCAGAAGGACUGGGUGAGACGUGCUUCAUCAGAUUCAACCAUGGUGGGCAAAUGGCGGUGUCUGAUACGUCUUCCCUUUCCUGAAAUGGUGGUCUUUCCCACAGUCCUGUCCCUGACUCUCUUGUCUCCCUGGGAUCACACACUUGGGCUACACUCUUACACUUCUUAAUUUUUUUUAAAUGUUUAUUUAUUUUUGAGAGAGAGAGAGAGAGAGAGAGAGAGAGAGCAAGUGA